rnacentral:rRNA from 1 species
AGUGAACGCUGGCGGUAGGCCUAACACAUGCAAGUCGAACGGCAGCACAGUAAGAGCUUGCUCUUACGGGUGGCGAGUGGCGGACGGGUGAGGAAUACAUCGGAAUCUACUUUUUCGUGGGGGAUAACGUAGGGAAACUUACGCUAAUACCGCAUACGACCUACGGGUGAAAGCAGGGGAUCUUCGGACCUUGCGCGAUUGAAUGAGCCGAUGUCGGAUUAGCUAGUUGGCGGGGUAAAGGCCCACCAAGGCGACGAUCCGUAGCUGGUCUGAGAGGAUGAUCAGCCACACUGGAACUGAGACACGGUCCAGACUCCUACGGGAGGCAGCAGUGGGGAAUAUUGACAAUGGGCGCAAGCCUGAUCCAGCCAUACCGCGUGGGUGAAGAAGGCCUUCGGGUUGUAAAGCCCUUUUGUUGGGAAAGAAAAGCAGCAGGUUAAUACCCCGCUGUUCUGACGGUACCUAAAGAAUAAGCACCGGCUAACUUCGUG